UGGCCGCGGUAACUUGACCGUGCAAAGGUAGCAUAAUUAUUAGUCUUUUAAUUGAAGGCUUGAAUGAACGAUUGGAUGAAAAAUAAACUUUAUUAAUAUAAAUAAUUUAAGUUAUUAUUUAAGUAAAAAAUCUUAAAUACAUAAGUGGGACGAGAAGACCCUAUAGAGUUUUAUUUUUUUUAUUGUUAUUUUAUUUUAGAAUUAAUAUUUUUAUAAUAAUAUAAAAUAUUUUAUUGGGGUGAUAUUAAAAAUUAUUAAACUUUUAAUUAAAAUUUCAUUAAUUUAUGAUUUAUUGAUCCAAAGUAUUUUGAUUAUAAGAUUAAAUUACCUUAGGGAUAACAGCGUUAUUAGUUUGGAGAGUUCAAAUCGAUAAAUUAGUUUGCGACCUCGAUGUUGGAUUAAGAAAAUAUUUUAGAGCAGUAUUUAAAAUAAUAGGUCUGUUCGACCUUUAAAUUCUUACG
rnacentral:rRNA from 1 species